UUUCCGUAGGUGAACCUGCGGAAGGAUCAUUAUUGUAUAACAAAGGUGCGAGGCCUGUUGCUGACCCGAAAGGUCGUGGAAGCCUGAAUGCCCUUACUUACCUCCCCUUUUCCUCUAUGUGUACGACCGCGCGGCUUCCCACUUGGCUCGUUCGGAGGGGGGUUUACGUUUUCAUCGAUACUUUUAUUGCAGUGUAGAAUGUAUAUUUUGUUUUUGCGUUCUCGCAACCAAUACAACUUUCAACUACGGUCCUCUUGGCUCUCGCAUCGACGACGAACG
rnacentral:misc_RNA from 1 species